rnacentral:rRNA from 1 species
UACGAAGGGUGCAAGCGUUAUUCGGAAUAACUGGGUGUAAAGAGCGUGCAGGCGGCCUGCUAAGUCGAUCGUCAAAGCGCCCAGCUUAACUGGGCAAAGGCGAGCGAAACUGGUUGGCUAGAGUAUGGGAGAGAAGAGUGGAAUUCUCGGAGUAGCGGUAAAAUGCGUAGAUCUCGAGAGGAACACCGGUUGCGAAGGCGGCUCUUUGGCCCAUUACUGACGCUUAAGCGCGAAAGCGUGGGGAGCAAACAGG